UUGCUCUUCAACGAGGAAUGCCUAGUAAGCGCGUGUCAUCAGCAUGCGUUGAUUACGUCCCUGACCUUUGUACACACCGCCCGUCGCUACUACCGAUUGAAUGGCUCAGUGAGGCCUUCGGACUGGCUCGAGGAGGUUGGCAACGACCACCCAGAGCCGGAAAGUUCGUCAAACUUGGUCAUUUAGAGGAAGUAAAAGUCGUAACAAGGUUUCCGUAGGUGAACCUGCGGAAGGAUCAUUAACGAGGAAGGGUUUCCGAAAGGAGCCCGAACUCCCCACCCUUUGCCGUUGCGAAUCUGUUGCUUCGGCGGGCCCGUCCUCCCCCUGCGAGGGGGGAGUGCCGGCCGGGCCUCACCGCCCGGACAGCGCCCGCCGGAGGACCGAAUCAACUCUGUUUUUAACCAUAAUGUCGGAGUACUUUUGUACAAUCAAAUUAAAACUUUCAACAACGGAUCUCUUGGUUCUGACAUCGAUGAAGAACGCAGCGAAAUGCGAUAAGUAAUGUGAAUUGCAGAAUUCAGUGAAUCAUCGAAUCUUUGAACGCACAUUGCGCCCCUUGGUAUUCCGAGGGGCAUGCCUGUUCGAGCGUCAUUUCACCAAUCAAGCCCCGCUUGGUAUUAGGCGUUUGGCCGGGACCCUGUCAAAAGGGGGACCGGCCCGCCCGAAAUGCAUCGGCGAGGCACCGACCCCCGGCGUGUUAGAAUUUCGAAACGUCAGGAGCACCGGUGUUAACCUCUGCCGUGAAACCUUUCAAUUAUCUUCUAAGGUUGACCUCGGAUCAGGUAGGAAUACCCGCUGAACUUAAGCAUAUCAAUAAGCGGAGGA
rnacentral:rRNA from 1 species